UAGUAGACUUAAUAACCGUAGUCUUUUAUGUUGAUUGGUUUAGAUAUAUUUCUGGACUUUUGAGCUGCAACCUACAAAUACAAAAGGGUUUCUCAGAAUAAUGGAACCAUACAGAUUUCGCACAGCUAAUAUGUAGCUUAUAGGAUUCUGUAUGGUCAGAGGCAGCCGUGAUUUCAGUUUGCGAUGUACAUGAUGCAUCUACAGCAGCAGGGACAAUGUACAUAGACUGUGGCUCAAAUUCUGGUGAGCAGCCUACCUAGACAACAUUUGUGUGCGGGUUGUGAGCAUUUGACUCGAUUUCGCCCUACGGCUCCCAAAACGCCGUCUGGGUAGGAAGGACAGUAGUGUUUGAGACAGGGACAUCAGAAACGUGUGGCGCAUCCGUGAUGGUGAUGAUGAAGAACGGUAGAGACUCCGCGGCUGAACAUCGGAUUUCAUCCAACGACGAGGGUUUGAUCUCUUUGUGAAGUUCUUUCUGCAUCUCUUGUUUUAUACAUGGCUCAUGGGUUUGGAGGUGGUGCUGGGAAGGGGUUUGCAGGCACUUGAAGAGGACCUUAGUGAGAACAGCUGGAGCAGGGCUGGAGACCGUUCUCGUUGCAAGCUGUGCACUUCAGGGCUUUGAAGGAGUCGGUGAAGCAGUUGCGAAACACAGACAUUUUGCUGCCAUGGCACAUAGGGCACGGGACAAAGGCAAAUCCACCACACGUCUGGCAUGUGUCGGGGUGCUGAACCCUCUACCAUCAGACAGAGAGACAGAGAAAAAUGUGAGUGGAUUUGAAGGAAAUACCUUACCCAUGUGCAGAUUCUCUUUGAGAUACAAUCUGAGUGAUGCUAUAUUUAAGACAAAUGCAAGUUUGACUAUUAUUUUGGGCUGUUCUGCACACUAUGUAAAUACACAAUACAAUUUGAGCUUGCUAUUAUUAGUACUUUUAAUUAUUUAUUUUUUUUUUUAGAAAGCAUUUGCAAUUGUUGAUAGGACCCAACCUGUAAAGUGUCAACCCGAUCUCACAGGAUGACGUAACUAUUUUACAUAGUGGCGAUUUCAUAUGAAUUUGUACAAUGUGAAUCAUACAAAAACUGACGAUUUUUAGCAAAAAAAAAAAAAAAAAAUGUAUGAGAUUUUAUGAAUUCAUAUUUCAUAGAAUUUUCCAAAACUUAAAAUAGUUACAAAUUUGCCAUAAGAUUGUGUUGAAAUUGUUGACAUUCACUAUGCUUGAGAAAUCACUGUAUAGCAAAUUGUGCCUGCCAAAUGCAUAUAUGUAAAUAACAUUAAUCACUGAUAUAUAAUGUAGACUAUGUGUAAAGACUAUACUGAACUGUAAUAAUAAACAUUUCCUCUCGUAAA